AGGAGGUACGACCGGAAGCGAUGUAUCACUGCUAAAUUGACAUUCUUUAAAUAACGCGCACACUUGCCACAAACAAAAUGUCUUCCCAGCAAAACGUAGACAGCGACAUUGCUAGUCCUUUGUCAGUCUCUAGUCCCUUGUCAUCAGUAGAAAUUGGACUUGACAGAUUGAUCACUAUAUUUUGAAGAUAGGAAUAAAGUUUGCUUAUAUCAUCCCGUCCUUCUCAGUGAUCUAUGUGGAUUUGCGACAAGUUAGAAUUCAGUUCCUUGAUAAAGAAGACCAAGACAGUGCUAGUGACUCUCCUGUUGUAAUGAUGGAUGCCUUCAUCAGAGCUGAUCCCGAGCUAGACAAAAUAGUACCUCCUUUCACUAUUCAACUCAAAGAUUACUGCUUCGUAUCGGUGGAAGAGUUUUGCAAACGUGUGUACGUCAAACACCUUGAAUCUACACCAGAUGGACUCUUCAUUAUCUGGGGAUGGACAGAAGAGAGUAUGGAUGAGAAAAAUGCCUCUGAUGACGAUCCAGCGUUGAUGUCUGACAGUUUGUCAACAGAAUCAGAUAAAAGUGAUGACGAGUGUGCAGUCUCAAAAGAAAUUAGCACAGUUAAUUUUAAGUGUGUUGGUGUCACUCGUGACCCCUUGUAUCAAGAAACUUUGAAGCUAGCAUUUGAUAUGUUGAUCAACGAAAAAAGAUGUUCCAGUGAGAUUAAAUCCCGAACCUAACAAUCCGUAUGAUUCUCAUGCAGUGGCAUUUGAGUGUAAGAUAAUUGCUGGCUGUUGGAAGGUGUUUGGGUAUGUACCCAAGGAACUGUGUGAUUUUGUAUUGAGUGCUAUCGACAAGGGGGACAUUCUUAACGUUGAAUUUUCAUGGAUUAAAUAUAAAAUUAUUCGAAGUACCACUCUAGUAUGUGCACUGCAACUUCUGUCAGAUCUACUUCCAUUCCCAGUUCUUCUGCGUUUAGUUCUGUUCAUUGCAUUGUUUAUUUCAGAGGUUAUUUGGGGUUAAUCUC